rnacentral:misc_RNA from 1 species
AUGGGAGGAGAAAGAAGGGAGACUGAAAACAUGAGCAAAAUAUUUGGAUUUUAAACUGGAAUUGUGAAAAGAGAUGCACUUUGUUGAUGUGAGGAGCUUGGCCAUGAAGCUGGCAGCCCUCACUGAUUGGCAUCACUGCUGAUUGAGAGCUGAGUGUGUCACAGCUACUCUGCUUCCUUUGGAUCUGGGAGCUGCCCACUGAACCCACUAGAAUCUUGGCACCAUGUCGUUCCGUGGCCCGGGCCUGUACGAGUUCCUCACUGAAGCUGAGCUCCAGCAGUACUACAACCACUUCAAGAAUGAUCUGAAGGUGCAGAACGUCCCACAAAUCAAAUGGGUGACAGAUGAGGAUCUUGUCACCAUGGGCCUGUCGAAGCCCGAAAUUCGACGGCUGAAGAAGUUCUUCAGCAAGUACUGCCCUCAAAACUAUCUGUCCAAAAUGAAAAGGAAGCUGCUAGGCCGGCGGGACGACGAGCUGCCAGAGCCGGCGCUCGUGCCCGACGACUCGCCCUCCCGCCAGCGGCACGCCAUCAAAAUGCCCAAACACAUCAUACCGGCCGACGCCAUAGUCGUUAACAAGGAGCUCGGCACCGGGGAGUUCGGCGUGGUGCAGCAGGGCGUUUGGACCAACGAGGAGGGGCACAGGAUCCAGGUGGCCAUCAAGUGUCUGAGCAAGCAGCGGAUGCAGUCCAACCCCACCGAGUUCCUCAAGGAGGCGACCAUCAUGCACAACAUCGAGCACGAGCACAUCGUGCGCCUGUACGGUGUGGUGCUCGACACCAACGCCCUGAUGCUGGUGACUGAGCUGGCUCCUCUACGCUCGCUGCUCGAGUGUCUGAAGGAGCCGAACCUGCGGGCCAGCUUCCCGGUGUUGACGCUCUGCGGGUUCGCCAUCCAGAUCUGUGACGGCAUGCAGUACCUAGAGUCGAAACGGCUUAUUCACAGAGAUCUGGCGGCGCGAAAUAUCCUCGUUUUCUCAAAGAACACUAUCAAAAUUUCCGACUUCGGCCUGUCACGGAUGCUGGGAGUCGGAAAGGAUUAUUAUCAAACCAAUUUCAACGUCAACCUGAAGCUACCCAUCGCCUGGUGUGCGCCAGAGUGCAUCAACUACCUGCGCUUCACGUCGUCCAGCGACGUCUGGGCCUACGGCGUGACGCUGUGGGAGAUGUUCAGCUACGGCUUCCAGCCGUGGGCGGCGCUCACCGGACAGCAGAUCCUCGAGGCCAUCGACGAGCCCAACUUCCAGCGCCUGGAGCAGCCGGAUACCUGUCCCAAGGACUGCUACAACCUGAUGCUCAAGUGUUGGCAGCACGACCCCAACAAGCGGCCCAACUUCCACGAGCUGGCGCAGCUGCUACCGGAGUGUAAGCCGGAACAGGUGCAGGCGGUACAGUCGGCCGGCAGUGAGCCCACAUCACCCACCAAACGCGACCGGCUCCAGUACGAGGUCGGAGACGUCGUCACCGUGCUGGACAAACGCCCGGUGGCCGACCACCCCAACUUGUGGAAGGGAGUCACGGCGUCCGGUAAAACGGGCCUGUUCAACCCGUCCCACUUCGUGGCAUACCUGGGCAGCAACCUGCCCUCCAGCACCAGCAGCCAGGCCAGCCAGCCGUUCAGCCGUGGAGAAGCCAAGGCGGCCUACUCGUCCAAACGUCGUCUGAAGCCGGAGAUGAUCUCAGCGCCACAGGACGACCUCAAACACACGGGCCAUGUCGGCAUGGACGGCACACACUUCGGCGACGUCAGCUUCCUCGGAGACAAGUAUCAGCAGCUGCCUCGUCAGGUGGUCAGCCCGUACAAGCCCCAGGACGACCUGCGCGCCUCCCUGCUGACCCGCGCUGGCUCAGACGUGUCCGACCGUGCCCCGCUGCUGGCGGCGAGCUCCUCCGACCCGGCAGUGCGCGGCGCAGGACCGGCCGAGGAGCUGGCAGCGGACGGAGUGUGGGAGCCCGCGGCGGGGACGGCGGGGGCGGCGGCGGAGCGACCGGCCGGCCGCGGGGACACCUACCGUCGCACGGCCGGCGCCAAAGGACAGCACGAGUACCACGAGAUCAGUGAUGAGGAGGAGGGCGGAGCAGCGGCGGCGGUCGCGGCAGCGGCGGCCACAGGAGCGGCCAGCCCGCCACCCUUCCAGAGCGAUCCGUUUGACCUGGGCCCCAGCCUGAUGGACGAAGUGAUGUCGAUUCUGGGCGGACCGGCGACGGCGGCGCCCCAGCCGCGGCCCCGGGAUCGCGUCAUGUCUGAGGAAUCCACCUCCGGCGGCGAGGCGAGCAACGUGCGCAACGAACUGCGCGAGCAGAGUGCACGCAUGCUGCGCGAACACGGUCAGAAGAAACGCAAGGAGAGCAAGGUCCGGGACAUCUCCGAGUCCGACCGGCGCACCCUGGAGCAGGCCAUCGCCAUGGCCAACGACCUGGCGGCCCGCUCGAUGGCCGAGCUCGACUCUGACUCGCUCGACUCACCACACACACCCAGCAGUCCGACCAAGAAGAAGUUCUCCUUCAAGCUGAAGCCGAGUCCGCCGAUGUCGCGCCGUAACUUCAGCACAGAGGCGGCGAGCAUCCCUGAUAUACAGACGUCUCUGAAGCACGAGGAGAGGGAGGCGUACAACUCGCUGGUGCAGAAACCGCCGACCGCCGCCGCCGCCGCCGCCGCCUCCACUGAAGAUACUGCAAUGGAAACGUCCGAUAAUCCACUUAGAAUGUUACGAGCCGGCAUCACGGUUCGACCUAAGGUCCGUGGUAACAAGCACAGCGGCCUGCCGACCGGGACGGCCACCAUUGAACGGAGUCAGGGAGUGAGCCGCAGCCGCGCCGCCACCCUGGCCGCCAAGGGUGGUGCGGAGCCGGGUGGCGGCGCGCCGUCCGACUCGGCCUCGCUGCAGACCUGGCACCGCACCAUGUCCAUCGACCGAGACCUGGCUGUGGGCUCGGCGCCCGCUGCCGACCCGUCCAACCCGCUGCCGCUGCCGCCGCGAGACCGCACCAAGAGUCUACAGGAGUCGGCCAGCAAGCCUCGCCACCAGCGCAAGCACCCCCUGCUGCUGCCGGGCGCAGGCGGACCGGCCGGCCGGGCUGCCGACAGCCUCUCACCAGAGGAUGUACCGGACGGCGGCCGGCUGCCCCGCGGAGCGCCGCCAGCCAAACCGCCCCGGCUCAAUCUGAACGACUCGUUCGAGUCGCAGCUGGCGCAGGAGAUGGAGGCGCUCGACCACAUCCCCGAGGAGUGUGUGGGCUCGGCCGGCUCCGGCUCCGGCUCCGGCUCCGGCUCCGGCUCCGGGUCGGUCUGUCCGCCCGGAGCCGACCUGCUCUACACGUGGCGCGACCACGUCAGCUGUGAGGACCUGCUCGAGUUCGCUGCGGACCGGCCGAACGCGCGCCGCACGCGCGGACCCGCCCACGGUGCGCAGAGCGACGAGGUCCGGAUCAUGCUGAAGGUGCUGGGUACGGGCGCCACCUCAGAGGCCUGCCUGCUGGCGCUCAACGAGACCAGCUGGGACGUGCACCGCGCCAUCAAACUGUGCCAGGUCACACGGGCUCUCGGCAGAGAGGUGGCGUGUGACGAGGUGAGCCGCGCGCUGCGCCAGGUCGAGUGGAACGUCAGCAGGGCGGUCAGCAGUCUGAUGGUGCGCCACGGCUCCGCGUCUGGACAGGCCACCGUCGUAUGACGGGCCGCUCCUCCCGGCGCCGGGCGCACCAUCGGAGUACCGUGUCCACUAAAUUCAGGCUGAUAUGAGACGUCCUUCGUGGACAGGCAGAUCUCUAUGGAAUCUGUUCGGAUUAGAUACCGACACUGGCCAGGUUUUCGGGCCUCUGCUCGGUGUGGCAGUGAUAUACGGGGCCGCUGGCGAGAUCAGCUGCUCUAUGAUGUACCUACCUGUGUGUUUUGGCGGCCGGCGGCGGUCGGAACUGUGCGUGUGUGACGGCGGUGCGUGUGCGAAGUAUUAUCGGCGGUUUCUCACAAGCGAAUGUGGGUUUUAUUCUGCCUCUAUGCCUCGAACGGGACCAGUGCGGGUCCAACCCCUGUGCGCCUCCAAAUGCCAGCUUCCACCUCCUCGGGGUGGGGUAUUGGCUCCGCUCCCCCGCCCCGCUGGGCAGGAGAGGGGAGCGCCGCCCCCACUCCGCGGAGGGCGACCUCAACCCCACCCCUCCCCAGCAUCACGACGUAGGUGCUCGUCUUCCCUCCCCCCCCCCCCCCCGCCGACCGAAAUAGCGGCGCCCCCGGGCUGUUUUAUAUUCGUGCGUGGUGUGCGCGUGACCCUGCGGGUAGAUCGGUGCGCGAUCCGCCACUGAGUUAAUGAGAACGUGCCACAGUUGCAGCUUUACUGACAAAUACUGGGCGGCUGGCGCGGCGGCCGGCCGCCCAAAUUAUAACGAGGAGUUGUGAAUCUCUGCGCGCGACCCAGUUUGUACUUUUGUACGUUUUUUAGUCUCAAUCGCGUGUGCCUGCGCAAAAUCGCGCCGCCUGUGGCACGGGUGUGGGCUUGGACCGUGGUCCGUCGGACGAUGGUCCCGGUCUCACAGGACAGGACCGUGGUCUGUCGGCCGACGGUCCCGGUCUCAGGACCGUGGUCUGUCGGACGAUGGUCCCGGUCUCAGGACCGUGGUCUCGGUCUCUCAGGACCGUUGUCCAUCGUGCGGUGGUCCCGGUCUCUGGGGACCGUGGUCCCGGUCUCGCCGACACCCGGCCGCUGGCGGUGCCCGGUACAGUAGCGGCCGAUAUGUUCGACCCGAUGUAGCGGACUGCAAUAUACCUGCAGCGUACAA